rnacentral:rRNA from 1 species
ACUCCUGGCCACUNCCGAAAUGCUCUAGGACUUUAAGUUUGAUCAUGGCUCAGAGCGAACGCUGUAGGUAGGCCUAACACAUGCAAGUCGAACGGCAGCACAGAGGAGCUUGCUCCUUGGGUGGCGAGUGGCGGACGGGUGAGGAAUACAUCGCGAAUCUACUCUGUCGUGGGGGAUAACGUACGGAAACUUACGCUAAUACCGCAUACGACCUACGUGGUGAAAGCAGUGGGAUCUUCGGACCUUGCGCGAUUGAAUGAGCCGAUGUCGGAUUAGCUAGUUAGGCGGGGUAAAGCGCCCACCAAGGCGACGAUCCGCUAGCUGGUCUGACACGGAUAGAUCAGCCACACUGGAACUGAGACACGGCUCCAGACUCCUACGGGAGGCAGCANGUGGGGAAUAUUCGGACAAUCGGGCGCANGCCUGAUCCAAGCCAUACCGCGUGGGUGAAGAACGGCCUUCGGGUAUGUCAAGCCCUUACGUCGGGAAAGAAACUCCAACCUAGGCUAAUACCCGGNAUGGGAUAGACGGAACCCAAAGAAUAAGCACCGCGCUAAACUUCGUGCCAGACAGACCGCAGGCAACUACCGANAGAGGGUAGACAACNGCCGUAACCUCCCGCGGAAUUUCACUAGGGNGCGAUACACAAGCGGUGCCGUAACGGAUGCGCACCGNNAAACGUCCCGCGUCCUCCGACUAGCAAAAAGGCCCCCUUNGGNCNGNCCUCCNNNCCAUGGGNAAAACCUAGNACGACGUGGGAAANUACCUNUGGGGGCCGAAACUNAAGAACAUCGCNACGGCAGCACAAGGGUAACNCCGGGACAUCACCCUGGUGUGGUUAACGCCAAAGCAAAAUGAGCCUACACAAANACCGGGGAGGACCCUACCCAUGGCCAACAGGCGAAGNCUACCCUAGGACCACCNUAGCACCANAUGAGGCCGACAACGCGCGUG